rnacentral:rRNA from 1 species
CCUACGGGAGGCAGCAGUGAGGAAUAUUGGUCAAUGGACGAGAGUCUGAACCAGCCAAGUAGCGUGAAGGAUGACUGCCCUAUGGGUUGUAAACUUCUUUUAUAUGGGAAUAAAACGUUCCACGUGUGGGAUUUUGUAUGUACCAUAUGAAUAAGGAUCGGCUAACUCCGUGCCAGCAGCCGCGGUAAUACGGAGGAUCCGAGCGUUAUCCGGAUUUAUUGGGUUUAAAGGGAGCGUAGGUGGAUUGUUAAGUCAGUUGUGAAAGUUUGCGGCUCAACCGUAAAAUUGCAGUUGAAACUGGCAGUCUUGAGUACAGUAGAGGUAGGCGGAAUUCGUGGUGUAGCGGUGAAAUGCUUAGAUAUCACGAAGAACUCCGAUUGCGAAGGCAGUUCACUGGACUGCAACUGACGCUGAGGCUCGAAAGUGUGGGUAUCAAACAGGAUUAGAUACCCUUGUAGUC